UUCGUAACACCUGUACACUGCAGGUGCAGGCCAGUUCAUCAUUUGCUGAUGUAACAAUUAAGAAGCACGGAGUAGGGAUUUAGCUCGUAUUGUUUUUUGUUUAGCUCAAUUUGAAGCAAGCCCUUGCAUGGUGUUCUCACAGCAUACAUUUCUUCGAAAAGCUCAAACAGAUUGAAGAAGGUACAUACAGGCUCAAGCCCUUUACCAGACUCUAUACGUCGCCAGCUUCAUCGACAACUACCGACAGGAGCUCGCUAGAUACCCUGCUUUGACUACAGGUGCACAACAAGUACAAGCAAUAUACAAUAUUACUAGGAUUCAUGCUUGAGGAAAUACUUUUUGAACACAUAUCUUUGGCUAUAGACUCACUAUUUCACCGUUCAAAACCCCAUUCCUCAUCUCUCAAACACAGUGGCCACCAUGUCAUCUCCGAUGGCCUCUCCUGCUGCCUCGCAACAACCUUCUACAGAAACUUCGGUGAGCUUGUUUAUACAUUUGUUUUCUCUUAUUCAUCUUAUUUACAAAGAUUAUAUCUCUAUUUGUUCUUUAGUUUUCCGUAGACUUCUCAUCCAUCAAUGCAAGUGCAUAUACCAACAUGUCUCGCUGCUUGAAC